AGCAUCGGCCAUACAUACCAGAAAAUACCGGAUCCCGUCCGAUCUCCGAAGUCAAACUGGUAAUGGCCUAGUCAGUACUACGGUGGGGGACCACGUGGGAAUACUAGGUGCUGAUGUUU
rnacentral:rRNA from 13 species